rnacentral:rRNA from 1 species
UNGGAAUCACUGGGCGUAAAGGACGCGUAGGCGGAUUACCAAGUCUCUUGUGAANUCUAACGGCUCAACCGUUAAACUGCUUGGGAAACUGAUAAUCUAGAGUAAGGGAGAGGCAGAUGGAAUUCUUGGUGUAGGGGUAAAAUCCGUAGAUAUCAAGAAGAAUACCUAUUGCGAAGGCGNUCUGCUGGAACUUAACUGACGCUAAUGCGUGAAAGCGUGGGGAGCAAACAGGAUUAGAUACCCUGGUAGUCCACGCCCUAAACGAUGUAUACCGGUUGUUGCUGUGCUAGUCACGGCAGUAAUCCACCUAACGGAUUAAGUAUACCGUCUGGGGAGUACGGUCGCAAGAUUAAAACUCAAAGGAAUAGACGGGGACCCGCACAAGCGGUGGAGCAUGUGGUUUAAUCCGAAGAUGCGCGAAGAACCUUACCCGGACUUGAUAUCUAACAAAUCAUCCAGAGAUGGAAGAGUGUCUGCUUGCAGAAAUGUUAAGACAGGUGCUGCACGGCUGUCGUCAGCUCGUGUCGUGAGAUGUUGGGUUAAGUCCCGCAACGAGCGCAACCCACGUCAUUAGUUGCUAACGGUUCGGCCGAGCACUCUAAUGAGACUGCCUUCGUAAGGAGGAGGAAGGUGUGGACGACGUCAAGUCAUCAUGGCCCUUAUGUCCGGGGCGACACACGUGCUACAAUGGCAUAUACAAUAAGACGCAAUAUCGCAAGAUGGAGCAAAUCUAAAAAAUAUGUCCCAGUUCGGAUUGGAGUCUGCAACUCGACUCCAUGAAGCCGGAAUCGCUAGUAAUCGUAGAUCAGCCAUGCUACGGUGAAUACGUUCCCGGGUCUU